GUGGGGAAUUUUGGACAAUGGGCGAAAGCCUGAUCCAGCAAUGCCGCGUGCAGGAUGAAGGCCCUCGGGUUGUAAACUGCUUUUGUACGGAACGAAAAGCCUGGGGCUAAUAUCCCCGGGUCAUGACGGUACCGUAAGAAUAAGCACCGGCUAACUACGUGCCAGCAGCCGCGGUAAUACGUAGGGUGCAAGCGUUAAUCGGAAUUACUGGGCGUAAAGCGUGCGCAGGCGGGUUUGUAAGACAGUGGUGAAAUCCCCGGGCUCAACCUGGGAACUGCCAUUGUGACUGCAAGGCUAGAGUGCGGCAGAGGGGGAUGGAAUUCCGCGUGUAGCAGUGAAAUGCGUAGAUAUGCGGAGGAACACCGAUGGCGAAGGCAAUCCCCUGGGCCUGCACUGACGCUCAUGCACGAAAGCGUGGGGAGCAAACAGGAUUAGAAACCCUAGUAGUCC
rnacentral:rRNA from 1 species